rnacentral:lncRNA from 1 species
UUGCAUACCAUUUUCUCUCUCUCUCUUCAUCAUUUUUUGUUCACUAUUCUCUCCUUCUUAGCAAUAAAUAGAAGGUGGCAUUAAAGUGUGAGUCCCCAGAGAAGUACUGAAGCUAUUUUUCAUAUCUUAUAUGUUUGGUGAGUUUUAAGUUGUUGUAUAGUUUUCUUUGUUCUUCUUUUUUUCUUUUUUUUUUUUACUUUCAAUCUUGAAUAGACUAAUGCUACAUAUAAUUGGUGUUGUUGAUAGAAGCUAAAUAAAUAAUAGACCUUCCUAAUUUCAUAAUUUAUAACAAAUGUUAAGUAUUAAAUAAUGAUUUUUCAGAAGAAAAAAAUUAUGAAAUUGUGAGCAUUUCUGUAACUCUGGGUUGGUGCAUCUGUUAUAAUUGUUGUGAUUGAGUUGUCUUUGCUUUUGAUGUAUAUGGGAAUUAAGAAAUACAAGCAAGGAUGAUAGCUUGGAUUUUCAAUCUGUAACCAAUGACUUCAAAAGAGGCACCGGACCUAAGAAAUUAUAAGUGCCCCUAAAGUGUUUGUAAAAAUGAUUGAGUUGAAUGAACCACUUAGUUUGUUAAGGUAGAGGAGAGUCUUCAGUGAUUUGGUACCUGCAGUAUUAUGAUUUGUCAAAGGAGACUCUGCAGAUUAUUUUUGGAAGGUUGUUUUUAGUGUGAAAUGUAGAAUUUUGAAUUUACCCAUCUUAGUUUAAUGAUCAAAUAUGGUUUUUUCCUUUAUAUGUUGUUUUUUUAUCGUUUUUGUUUAUUCUUUCAAUCACACUAUUUGACUGUUUCUUUUCUUGGUUCAGUAUUUACUCCUCCGUUCAUUUCCGAUGGAGCCAUCCGAAAAUGCCACUGCUUAACCAUUUGUGACAGCAAAGAUUAUUCUUCAAGCAUUAACACAUAUAUACCUGUCCAACAUUUUCUUUGAUGCAUGUUUUGUAUGCAUAAAUAGUUUUUUAUUUUUUUUAUAUGUUGGAUCUUCACUUGGAUACCAGGGAUUAUUCUUCAUUACUAUGUCAAUAAUUACUAUUUCAUUGUAUGAUUCUUCAUAAUCUUGUCUUUUAGUGAAGGUUGUGCAUACCAGGGAGCAGUGUUUCUGCAUUUUUACUUGUGUCUUAAUUUUGUAUCAAGAGUAAUGAAUCUUGAUGAAGGUCCUCAGCCUCAAACAGUGUUGAAACUAUUUACCAAUGGAUCUAACUUGAACAUGUCAGAUUGUCAAAUGAGAUGCUACAGAUUUAUUGAUUAGGGAAUAGGUACUUAAUUUAACUGUUAAAGUUAUACAUGUUAGGAUUGUGAGUCUAAAUAGCAUGUUGAAUAGAAAUAAAAA